UACGUAGGGGGCAAGCGUUGUCCGGAUUUAUUGGGCGUAAAGAGCGUGUAGGCGGCUUGGUAGGUCCGCUGUGAAAACUCGAGGCUCAACCUCGAGAUGUCGGCGGAAACCACUUGGCUAGAGUCCGGAAGAGGAGAGUGGAAUUCCCGGUGUAGCGGUGAAAUGCGCAGAUAUCGGGAAGAACACCUAUGGCGAAGGCAGCUCUCUGGGACGGUACUGGACGGCUGAGACGCGAAAGCGUCGGGGAGCGAACAGG
rnacentral:rRNA from 1 species